ACAGGGGCUACAGUGGCAGGUGGCGGCUCGUCGGCUCCACUCCCAUGGCGGCUCGGCGGCUCCUCCUGCUGCGACAUUCAAGUCCGCGAAAACGGCGAACCCUCCUGUUGCGAGCCUGCGAAAAGUGCCUCUCUAAUAUCUGAUCUUGUGAACUAGGAGCAAAACGACUAGCAAAGAAGAUUAGCCAUGGUUUCAAAAAGCACAAGGUGCGAAAAAUAAGCAGACUACAAUGCCAUCUGCAACUGGAAGUGAGCCAAGUGACGGUGCCAAUGUAAUUGCAAGUGACAGGGAGACUGGUAUAGAAGCUAGUGGCGCAGCUGUUGCUGGGACUCCAGCAGCAAGAGAUGCGGCCACCAAAGUUAGAGGUCCAAAGAAGAAAACUUCCAAGGUUUGGAAGUUUUUCACUGAAAUUUUUGUUGAAGAAAAGAUUGAAGACAUGGUUAUCAAGAAGCCAAUGACAGCACGCAACUACUGUGAUGAUGUUCUUUGUGCUCAAAAUAAGCAAGGUAGCACACGUCUAUGGAAUCAUUACUAUGCAUUUCAUGAUGAAGAAAAACAAGGGAAAUCUAUUAUGAAAAUGAAAUUAAUAGGAGCUGAUAGUUUAGAUGCUUGGAAGUAUGAUGAGGAAACUACUGUCAGAAAAUACUAUCUUGCAAUUAUUAUGCAUGAAUAUCCAUUCAACUUUUGUGAGCAUGAGUAUACAAAUGAUUUCAUUAGAUCUUUGUGCCCAAAAUUUACAAUAAUGGGCCGUAAGACUGCUAGGACAAGGAUAAUGGAUAUUUUUCAU